AUUGAACGCUGGCGGCAUGCCUAACACAUGCAAGUCGAACGGUAGCAGGGCGUUGGCUCCUGGCGUGUGCCGCGGACGGGAGAGUUAUGCCUAGAAAUGUGCCAUCUAGGGGGGGAUCACGGCGGGAGACGGGCGAUUAUACCGUAUGCGCUCUGAGGGAGAACGUGGGGGCUCUUGGGAUCUCACGGUCGCAGAGGACGCUAGGUGGGAUUAGGUAGUUGGUGGGGUAAAGGUAUACCAAGGCGACGAUCUGUAUCUGGUCUGAGAGGAUGAUCAGCCACACUGGAACUGAGACACGGUCCAGACUCCUACGGGAGGCAGCAGUGGGGAAUAUUGGACAAUGGGCGAAAGCCUGAUCCAGCCAUGCCGCGUGUGUGAAGAAGGUCUUCGGAUUGUAAAGUGCUUUUAGUUGGGAGGAAGAGCAGUAAGUUAAUACCUUGCUGUUUUGACGUUACCGAAAGAAUAAGCACCGGCUAACUACGUG
rnacentral:rRNA from 1 species